rnacentral:ncRNA from 2 species
CUCUUAUCCAGACAGGUGGAGGGAACGGCCCGAUGAAACCUGGGCAACCGGCCGACCGGUGCGGUGCCAAUUCCGACGGCGUGAGCCGGGAGAUGAGAG